CCUGGCGGCCAUAGCGAGCGGGAACCACCCGAUCCCAUUCCGAACUCGGAAGUGAAAACGCUCUGCGCCGAUGGUAGUGUGCUCUUCGGGCAUGCCAGAGUAGGUCACCGCCAGGC
rnacentral:rRNA from 1 species